rnacentral:rRNA from 1 species
CGAACGCUGGCGGCGUGCUUAACACAUGCAAGUCGAACGCGAAAGGGACUUCGGUCCUGAGUAAAGUGGCGCACGGGUGAGUAACGCGUAGAUAACCUGUCUUCAUGUCUGGAAUAAUACGCCGAAAGGGGUACUAAUACCGGAUAUUCUUGCUUUUCAUAAGUUAUGCAAGCAAAGGUGGCCUCUGCAUAUGCUACUGCAUGAAGAGGGGUCUGCGUACCAUUAGCUAGUAGGUGGGGUAAUGGCCUACCUAGGCGACGAUGGUUAGCGGGUCUGAGAGGAUGAUCCGCCACACUGGCACUGGAACACGGGCCAGACUCCUACGGGAGGCAGCAGUGAGGAAUAUUGCGCAAUGGGGGAAACCCUGACGCAGCGACGCCGCGUGAGUGAGGAAGGCCCUUCGGGUCGUAAAGCUCUGUCAAGAGGAAAGAAGUGUACAAUGGCUAAUACCUGUUGUAUUUGACGGUGCCUCUAAAGGAAGCACCGGCUAACUCCGUGCCAGCAGCAGC